AAGUCGUAACAAGGUUUCCGUAGGUGAACCUGCGGAAGGAUCAUUACAGUAGUAAUGCCCGAGGACCGCCGCCGGCUGGUCCUUACGUCGCCGCGUCGGUUGAUCACCGGACCUCAUGCGGUCGGACGUUUAAACCCUCUGUGAAAAAACCCCCAGUUGCUUCGGCAGCUCGUCCUCCCCCCAAAACCGGGAGGGGGCGGUCAGCCUGCCGGCGGCACCCAUUUGGAAACUCAUUGCUGUAACGUAGCCGUAGAAACGUCUGAUAGCGAAGUCGAAUUGACUAUAAAACUUUCAACAACGGAUCUCUUGGUUCCC
rnacentral:misc_RNA from 1 species